AAGUAUGCCCAAAAUGUGAAAACCAAUUUCCCAGAGAGGAUAUUGCAUUCCAUGCCAGCUUUUGUGGAGAUGGAUUUCCAGCAGACACCUUGAUGCCAUUACUUGAAGAUGAUGCCAGAGAGGGGACUUCAAGCACAAUUGAUCUCUUGCCUCAUGGUUCCAGGACUACAGAACAAAGCACCAGUCCCACUGGUGUAGUCAAUGACAUGGCCGGACCAUAACCUGCAUCUUUAGCUUCUGUUUGAUGUUAAUUGCUUGUAAUCAUGCUGAUUAAUACACUCAAAUACAUAGUAAUCAGGCUCUAUACAUUUUUAAUAUCACACUGAAAUGUAUUUGACUGUUUAAUGUUUAUGUUUUUUGUUUGUGUAUUUAUUUUAUAUUUCAUAAAAUGGAAGCGAAUCAUGAACGCUUCAAGUACAGCAACACUGUUCAGAAGAGUUAUCUUGAGGGAGCAAAAGCUGGAGAUACCUCUUCGCUUCUCAAUGGACCUACAUUCUGAUGUUGAAGAGAGAGAUAAGGCAGUAAUAGCAUUCUACAAGACUCAGAGAACUAAAUGGCCCUCCCCACUUCACUGUGUGCUGGAAGGUGAUGCUGCCAUCGGUGAUGGUGUAAGUCGGUAUUUCAUCAGCUUUGCUAUGCAGACCUUGCAGUCUGGAUUCCACAUCAAUUUUGGCAAUGCUGAUGUGACUAGGCUGUUUGAGGGACAGAAGGAUCACCUCAUCCCAUGUGCCUCCCAGCCACUCAUUGAUUCUGACCUUUUUCUGAUGGCAGGUAGAAUGGUGGGACAUUCAUUUAUACAUGGUAGCCCGGGAUUGCCAGGGAUCAGUCCUGCUGUAGUCCAUGUGCUCUUAGGGGGCCAAUUAGAGAUAGCAACAUUGGUAUUGGAGGAUUGCCCUGAUAUCGAUCGAAGGAACACAAACCAGUUGGUAGGAAGUGUUUUGUUGUGAAGCUUUUUUUGGUGUGUGUGUGUGUGAUAAAAUAAGAGACUAAUGUGGGGAACUUAUUUCUCUCCCUCAGCUGGAUGGCAACGGGGAGCUAUCUGUCUACAGGGAGCUAGAAAGCGGCUGUCAAUAGCCUAGCCGACAUGUGGGAAUUGCCACGACUGCCUAAUCUGAACAGACAAUAUCUUCAUCAGAGGCUGUUGCAGCAUGCGGUAAUGACAUUAGUUCACAUAACCUAAUACUUUUAUAUCAUCGUACUGAAUCUGACACCAUCUUUUGUCUUGCUUAUGAUACACGACUCAGCUGUUUUUCAUAAGUCAGUAGUUUUUGUCCACUGGGAAGCGGGACACUAUACCUACCUAUAGCUUAUAUAAAAGGGGUGAUGGUUCAGCCUGUUCACCCUGCUGCCUUCUGGGAAGAGAUAUAGAAGUUUCAGCUACCACACCACCAGCUUUUCCCCCCAAGCUGAUUCAGACUUUUAAGCUCAAAUUCAUCCUCAGCACUGCUCCAUUGAUUAUAGAUUAUUUCUGUUUACCAUUUUCAUAAUUGCUUUCAUAUUACUGUAUAUUGUCUGCUACAUAGCAGAAGGGAGUUACAGACUCAAUUUCACUUUACAACCUGUUGUAAAGUGACAAAUAAAUACCUUGUACUAUACA
ensembl:lncRNA